UACACAUCAUGCACCCUUUACCCAGGUCUGCAUCUCCAUCAACAAUGACUCAACCAAGAGCCAGUUCUUUCUGAAGCUCAGCUCCAUGGCUGGCUAGGACACGGCUGAGUAUUACUGUGAAAGACUCAGUGAGGAGGUGUCCUUGUGAGCCCUGACACAAAACUUGCUGUCAGGGCACUGAGGACCGCCAGCAAGACUCAGGACCACAAGGGGGACUCAAGACCACCAGGGGAAGAGCAGGUUGCAGGAAGCACAGGGCCAGCCCCAGAGCAGGUGUGGGUGGAGAUGAGAGGCUGGUUUACUGCCAGGGUGUGGGGCUGCCUCUACAUCUACAUGUUUCCUCCAGGGACCCUCCCUUAUUUCAUGAUGCUGUGCCUAGCUCUACGUCUCUGAAAUACCACAGUUUUGUUGUACCAGGAGGAAACCUUCUUACAGGCACUAAAUGCAGAACAAUCCCUCUGCCAGUGGUCACCAGGGCCACAGCCCUGUGGAAGCUGAGUGGAACCCGGAAAUGAAUUUUCACAAGGUCUCAGGACACCAUUUUUCAAGUGCUUUAGUUAAAGAGACUGACUUCUUGGUGGGCAGGCCUCUUCUAACAAUGAGCUCACUUCUGCAAAGCAUUCAGUCUGUGGCUUUAUUGCCAUGAAUCAUGAAGCUUUCACACUCCGAUGCACUAAAAAUAAUGCCUCUUCAAUUAAAUAUCUAUUGGCAUUGCCAUGAAUUGGCCACUCUUGGAUAUGUGUCCUAUGUUAUGAGCCCAACAUGUCAGUGGACUGAGAAUCCUCUAUUAGCUACCUCUGUGUGUAGCACUGAGCAGACUAACAAUCCUCAGAGUCAUCUAACAAGGAGAGUCCUGAGGUUCAUGGGAUUCUUGGAGACAUUCAGGCUUUGAGCUAUGAAAUCGUCUGUCUCAUGAAUAUGCAAAUAACCUGAGAUGCACUGAGGUAAAUAUGGAUGUGUCUGUGCCCUAAGCGCAUCAUCCAACAACCACAUGCC
rnacentral:lncRNA from 1 species